GACGAACGCUGGCGGCGUGCUUAACACAUGCAAGUCGAACGGUGACGCUGGAGCUUGCUCCGGCUGAUCAGUGGCGAACGGGUGAGUAACACGUGAGCAACCUGCCCUUGACUCUGGGAUAACCCCGGGAAACCGGAGCUAAUACCGGAUACGAACCGCACGGGCAUCUGCGCGGUUGGAAAGAUUUAUCGGUCAAGGAUGGGCUCGCGGCCUAUCAGCUUGUUGGUGGGGUAACGGCCCACCAAGGCGACGACGGGUAGCCGGCCUGAGAGGGCGACCGGCCACACUGGGACUGAGACACGGCCCAGACUCCUACGGGAGGCAGCAGUGGGGAAUAUUGCACAAUGGGCGAAAGCCUGAUGCAGCGACGCCGCGUGAGGGACGAAGGCCUUCGGGUUGUAAACCUCUUUCAGCAGGGAAGAAGCGAAAGUGACGGUACCUGCAGAAGAAGCACCGGCUAACUACGUGCCAGCAGCCGCAGUAA
rnacentral:rRNA from 1 species